rnacentral:rRNA from 1 species
CUUAGCAGAGAUGCUUUGGUGCCUUCGGGAACUCUGAGACAGGUGCUGCAUGGCUGUCGUCAGCUCGUGUUGUGAAAUGUUGGGUUAAGUCCCGCAACGAGCGCAACCCUUUAUCCUUUGUUGCCAGCGGCUCGGCCGGGAACUCAAAGGAGACUGCCGGUGAUAAACCGGAGGAAGGUGGGGAUGACGUCAAGUCAUCAUGGCCCUUACGGCCAGGGCUACACACGUGCUACAAUGGCGCAUACAAAGAGAAGCGACCUCGCGAGAGCAAGCGGACCUCAUAAAGUGCGUCGUAGUCCGGAUUGGAGUCUGCAACUCGACUCCAUGAAGUCGGAAUCGCUAGUAAUCGUAGAUCAGAAUGCUACGGUGAAUACGUUCCCGGGCCUUGUACACACCGCCCGUCACACCAUGGGAGUGGGUUGCAAAAGAAGUAGGUAGCUUAACCUUCGGGAGGGCGCUUACCACUUUGUGAUUCAUGACUGGGGUGAAGUCGUAACAAGGUAAGCGUAGCGAG